rnacentral:misc_RNA from 1 species
AUGAGGAAUUGCCAGACAGGGAAGGCUUUUAACCCUCUGCUUUAUCCGUUUAACGGCUAAAGUAUGUUCUUUGGUCCAUGGGCUUGGGUUCUUUCUAAGUCUUUGAAAUAAAGGCUUUGCAUCAUGGGCUAGGCUUUUAUAGAAGUCUGAGACAUAAUUAAGGCUUCCUAAAAACCUUUGAAGUUGGGUUUUUUCUUUUAUUUCAUCAGGGAAUUUAUCUGCAAAUUCAAUGGCUCGAUCUAUAGGAAUAAUAGAUCCUUCUUGUAUAUUAUGACCUAAAAAUCUAAUUUUAGUCUCAAAGAGUUUAAUCUUUUUGACAGAAACUACUAACCCAUUUUUCUUUAUAAUUUUCAUAAACACAUUUAAGUGCUUGAAAUGUUGAUCUAUUGUC